CCUACGGGAGGCAGCAGUGAGGAAUAUUGGUCAAUGGACGGAAGUCUGAACCAGCCAUGCCGCGUGCAGGAAGACGGCUCUAUGAGUUGUAAACUGCUUUUGUACAAGGGUAAACCUGAAUACGUGUAUUCAGCUGAAAGUACUGUACGAAUAAGGAUCGGCUAACUCCGUGCCAGCAGCCGCGGUAAUACGGAGGAUCCAAGCGUUAUCCGGAUUUAUUGGGUUUAAAGGGUGCGUAGGCGGAUUGAUAUGUUAGAGGUGAAAUGUCCGAGCUUAACUCGGGAACUGCCUCUAAUACUGUUGAUCUAGAGAGUAGAUGCGGUAGGCGGAAUGUAUGGUGUAGCGGUGAAAGGCUUAGAGAUCAUACAGAACACCGAUUGCGAAGGCAGCUUACCAAUCUAUAUCUGACGUUGAGGCACGAAAGCGUGGGGAGCAAACAGGAUUAGAUACCCCUGUAGUC
rnacentral:rRNA from 1 species